CUCAUGUGACGGUAUCACCUGAACCUCCCCAGGGCCGGAAGGCAGCAAGGAUAGGGUAGCUCUGCCGGGUGCGUGAGGGAUCCU
rnacentral:SRP_RNA from 1 species